CCUACGGGUGGCUGCAGUCGAGAAUCAUUCACAAUGGGGGAAACCCUGAUGGUGCGACGCCGCGUGGGGGAAUGAAGGUCUUCGGAUUGUAAACCCCUGUUAUGUGGGAGCAAAUUAAAAAGAUAGUACCACAAGAGGAAGAGACGGCUAACUCUGUGCCAGCAGCCGCGGUAAUACAGAGGACUCAAGCGUUGUUCGGAAUCACUGGGCGUAAAGCGUGCGUAGGCGGUUUCGUAAGUCGGGUGUGAAAGGCGCGGGCUCAACCCGUGGAGUGCACAUGAUACUGGGAGUCUAGAGUAGAGGAGAGGGAACCGGAAUUCGCGGUGUAGCAGUGAAAUGCGUAGAUAUCGAGAAGAACACUCGUGGCGAAGGCGGGUUCCUGGACAUUAACUGACGCUGAGGCACGAAGGCCAGGGGAGCGAAAGGGAUUAGAUACCCUUGUAGUC
rnacentral:rRNA from 1 species